GACGGGUGAGUAACGCGUGGGUAACCUGCCUUACACAGGCGGAUAACACUUAGAAAUAGGUGCUAAUACCGCAUGAGCGCACAGGACCGCAUGGUCGAGUGUGAAAAACUGAGGUGGUGUAAGAUGGACCCGCGUCUGAUUAGCUAGUUGGUGAGGUAACGGCCCACCAAGGCGACGAUCAGUAGCCGGCCUGAGAGGGUGGACGGCCACAUUGGGACUGAGACACGGCCCAAACUCCUACGGGAGGCAGCAGUGGGGGAUAUUGGACAAUGGGGGGAACCCUGAUCCAGCGACGCCGCGUGAGUGAAGAAGUAUCUCGGUAUGUAAAGCUCUAUCAGCAGGGAAGAAGAAAUGACGGUACCUGAGUAAGAAGCCCCGGCUAACUACGUGCCAGCAGCCGCGGUAAUACGUAGGGGGCAAGCGUUAUCCGGAAUUACUGGGUGUAAAGGGAGCGUAGACGGUGAUGUAAGUCUGGAGUGAAAGGC
rnacentral:rRNA from 1 species